AUCAAGGACACGAGGCACAUCACUCCAUUUGUGUUGGCUUCUCCUUCUCUUCGUGCUGCUCCGAUCGGGCGAGUCUCCCCCAAUCCCUCGCCUCCUCCAUUCCUCCGCCCGAGCCUCAGCCUGAUGUCCCAGUGCGGCGGCUCCCACUGUGGCCUCACGAAGCGGUGAGGCGCGGCGAUGGCACCUUCUCUGCACGCCAUCGGCGCCACCGCCAUCCUCCGAAUGGCCCCUGUAGGAGUGCAGGUCGAGUCGAUGCUGUCAAUGACCGUCCAUGCGCAACCCCAGCAGAGGCGCACUGACGGUGGGACGCGCAACUCACUCGCACUCUUCCCUCAUCCCCAUCUCGACCGGUGGCCGCGGUACGGCCGAAUCACCUGGCUACAUCUGGUUCUUGCUUCGCCGCUGUGGUGGCCCUUGUGGAGGGACUGGCUCAGAUCAGAGGUUGUGCCGCUGCCAUGAGGUUGGUGCUGUCCCUGCCGGCCUUAGCAUCCUUACCUGUGAACACGGCUGCGGUUCCAGGGGAGCCCAAGCGCGCUGCCGCGCGAUUGCCUUGCUCGCGAUUCUUCCACGCAGGUCCCCCCCACCCCAACCAUCGCAGUGCAUGUGGGUGUGCCAGUGCCGGCAGAAGUGGAUUAUUUGCUGAGGCUAUGUUCCUGGACAUGGUCAAAUGAAACACACCACUGAACUCUAUUUCCAUGUUAAAAAGUUCAGUUUCAUGUCAUUGGAAAGGUCGGAAUUCUGAAGAAUGCGGCCUUGCUGGGUAUCGUGAUGGUAUUGUGAGGGUUCUGGCAAUCUUUGGGUACACAUUCUGUUCUGCACCUUUCUUGUGGGCAUCCCUGGUGAGGAUGAUGGACUCACUGCAGACGAUGCUUGAGAGGGAUCCAUUAUUCCCCCGGCUUGGUGAACUGACAUAGGAUAUUGAAUUCAGCAAGCUGUACUGAUUCUUUUAUGCACAGAUUUGAGAUGCUUCAUCAACACAUGGACAACUGAUCUGGAUCGGCUAAUUCUUGAUUCAUUCUGAUGGUUUCGCUCAGGCAUUCUGCUGUGUUGAUAGUUAUGUAGAAAACAUAGCCUGCAGCAACCAUGAUUGAUGCAGAUACAGGACAGAUUGGUCAGCUGGUUUGUCACAUAUUGGCUGCUAGAUUUUGAUAUAUAUACGAAUCCAUUUUGUUUUUCUUUCGUUCUCGCAACUUCUUUCCAAAAUUAAAGGUCAGUUCUCUCUGUAUAUACAUCUAUAUUUCCAUUAUGUCACUUUAUGUCUACUUUUCUCCCUGCCAUAACACAGAAUCAUAUUUGCCUAUUAUUUGUGAGUAGUUCUGUAUUCGAUGGUAGCUUAUUUAAAAAAAGAUAAUUAUUAUAAAUCUGUAGCUCUUGAAUAUCUUAUUCACUCUUUUUUUCUAUAUUUUUCUGUAACAAAGAGUAAAUGUGAUGUGCAUACCUGAAGAAAGUGCAUGCAGUUUUGUGAGGUACCAAAUAUGACCAGUUUGGUUCUAGAUGUAACUACUUUUGGCGCAACUGGCCUAUCAACAUGAUAACAUUCGGGGUUUAGGAUGCAUCAUAUCUUGCUUUAGUCACAUGAGAGGUCUAUCAAAGUUUCUCUUUUGGCAAAUUAUAUUUUCUUGAAAUAUGAUCUCGAAGAUAAAUAAGCAUUUAUUUCCUCUUAUUUGUCUCAGCCUAGGCUUUAGUGCUUGCAGAGAGGUGGUCACAUCUUCAAUGCCUUUUCACAUGAGAGGUGCUAUGUUUACGGAUUAGAACGGAUUCAACCGAAAUGCUCUAAGACAGACAUCAUGAUGCCUAUGCGAUAAUUGUCAUAUUCAGUAUUUAUCAUUAUUUUUAUGCACUUGGAAAUGUUAUCAUUAUGAUUUUAAGAAACAAAGUGCUUAUGGCCUAUUGGUAACUAAUUUUAUUUCCAGUGACUUUCUCCUGCACUGCUGCCUUAGGCCUUUGAAUAUGAUUGUCGGUGGCAGAUAGGAACCUGCAUUAUAAAUAUUACCAAUCAUUUUCUCCCCUGCACCACUCAAAUAUUUUUAUAUAGUUGAAAAGUAGCUGCAUUGCAAAAUUGCGUCAGCAAGGUACAUGCACAUUCGCCCUGCUUGAUCUUAAGUUUUUCAUUACAAGUUGGUGUUGCCACUGUAUUACUACGUGAUUAAAGCAGCCUAUACUUCCAAAAUAUAGAAAACAUAGGGGCAAAUUCUUUUAGUCGUGGAUUGCUCAAACAGGUUUAUCUCCAUUGUUUAAUUUGAUGUUGGGGGUUUGGCAUUAGCAUACUACUGUAAAGUUCAUCUAACAAUAGUUCGAUCCUUGCUUAUUUGACUCGGUUCCAUUAGCUGUGUAUAUUACAAGUUUACCUGUGCAUUGUUGCAGGUUCAUCAAAGGUAAUUCAUGAUUCGAUGUAUCACUUGGACAAAUUUAGAUGACUAUCAUUUUUUAGAUUGUGAUAUAUUUUCAGAAUAUGUUUGUGCUUAGUUUAAUUGAUUUUGUUGUCAUUAUGAAGUGUUAUAAUUCCUACUUAGGAUAUCUCAUGAAAAUCUCACAUUUACUGCAGACUUUUUUCUCUAUAUGUUGUGUUGUUUGCUGAUCGGAGGCAUAAAGUUUCUACUUCGAGAUAGUUUGUCGCAUAUAUCUUUCUUCAUGCUUCAGAUCAAAUUACUGAUGGGAAAAUGAUCAUUUGCAGUAUUUUUUUCCUAUUAGAUAUUAAGUUUGACAAGGCUGUAAACGUACCUGCUAUAUAUGAACAAAGACUAUCACAUUUAUUUUCAAUAGUACAAAUUAGAGUUGUCCAUUGAUCAUGGCAGUCUACUUACUGCUCUCACGCCCACCAUCAUGUCAUGUCCGGCUCUUUCUGUGCUACAGCAAAUGAGCCCCCACAGUCCACAACCAUAGACACACAUUACCUGCAGGCGUGGCGUUAGCACGCCAAUAUUUCUAGUUCCUUUAUAUAGGCAAAAGAAUGCACCUAUCACACAUUGGCUAGGCAUACCUUUGCCAAAUGUUUUUUGUUCUCGUCCUUCUGCAUUUUUACUAACCAGGUUGUAUCACACUUCAUUGCUCUAAUGGAAGCUGCAAUGGAUUAGCAUAAUCUUGCCAAUGAGUCUUCACAGCAACCAAUGAUCAAUUUCGUGUGUACCAAUUGGAACAGAUACAUCACACUUGACUUAGCCUGACAUGCAUUUGGGCCAUUUUUAUUAGGCUAAAGUAGCUCUGACUUAGCUAGAUGAGAGGCAAAUAUUAUAUAAUAUAAUCUGUGUGUUAUAGCUUGUAUUGUUUGAGUGUCCGACUUGGAAUUCUAAUAUCGUUUCAGAUAACAAUUAUUAAGUUAUUUUGGUGAUACCAAUAUAUAGUUUAUUCAUUAUUAUUAAUUAAGCUUGAUGGAAAAGUUACAUCAAGCUUGAUUUUCUCCGCACUCAAAUUACUUGAGUCAGGUUCCAAGAUCUUCUUGACUAUAUGUUACAUUUUUAUUUGGGCUGCCAUUACAGUUUGCGGCACAAUCUGAGAAGAAGCUCAAGCUCCUGUCUUUCUUCAUGAUCGAGCUGAGUCUUGUGGAAUACGAGAUGCGCAAGUUCUGCCUGUCUAUGCUGGCAGCUGCUGCUAUCUACACAGCUCAAUGCACGAUGAAUGGGUUCAAGUCCUGGAACAAAUGCUGCAAGCUGCACACAAAAUACUUUUUUAUGACCUUAAUGAUUUUGAUCAAGAAAUACUUCAUCAAUUUACUACAGGUAUCCAAGGAUCUCUUAUUGUCUAACUGGUUCAAGUGGAAACUAAGAUGAAUUUGUUAUAUUUGUGUAUGGCAAUCUGCACUUCCAACUGCUUGUUUAAGUUAGUGGUCAUCCAUGCAUCGAGUAGGUGCAGCUGUCCCUGCGUAUUAUUCUUGGUGCCAUUUUGCUAAAUUCUAACCAUUUUGCCCUCAUGAAUCCUUUAGGUCUUUCUGUUCUUGCCCUUUGGUUUUAAAUUCUAGUUGUGGCCUCGAUAAAUAACAUUGGCUGAGUUUUGUUCAAUAUAUUGUCGUUGGGGUUAUAUCUUUCCACUUGGAUGUAGUAGGGAUUGAACUUCUAAGUCCACUUUUAACUUUGUACAGAAAUGUGAGGCUCGUCUAUUGUAUAGGGAGUAAUGCAGUAAUAGGGUGCCAUUUUUUUUUUCUUUUUCACCUUUUUCUUGUUCUCUUAGAUAAGCUGCGUUGCAAAUCACGCCUUUUGACCAUCUCUUCAGCAGUUGAGGAUAGAACUAUGUUUGAUUUUGAGGAUUGCAACUAAGACUGAUUCCAUCUCACUAAUUAAUUUUUUAGCUAAUUCUAUUUCUGACCAGGGACACAAUAGUACUAUAGAAUUGGAUUUACAGGAUUUGAUCAGAUCAGCUGCCAGCAUUGUGGCAAUUAUUAAAACGACUUGUUGGAUGUCAGAUUCUGAUCAGAGCUUGUCUGGCGUGUCAGUCUGAUCUGAUCAGCAACCAGUUUAUUGUUCUCGGAUUCAAGGUUUCGGCUGGGGCGUGAGUAGCAUAAUUAUUUUCAAUACUAAGGACUUGCUGCAUCCUUGGUUUUUGUACUAAAGACUUCUCAUCUGUUGCUAUAUUAUUCCCCAACUCUAAUUCUGUUUUCAGUUCCCGAAUAGAUUUUUAAAUUCAAAUUGAACAUCACCUUUUGGAAUUAGAUUAAGAAAAGAAAUCGAAACUUUGAAAUCACUUCUUCUGCAGUCUUUGGAAUUCUGAAACUUGUAUAGUUCCUUCUCAUUGACAACUACUGCAACAUAAAAAGAAAAUGACUUGGAUGAACAUGCAAAUAUGAACAAUAUGAUUAUUUUCUUGGUAGUUCUGUAAAAAUUCUUCAAUCUCAUAGUAUUGUAGCGCCCUCCAUUUGACAGCAAGCGUGGCUGACAAUGUCAGCAAGCGGAUCAAGUGCCCCGAUGAGGAGCAUGAAGCGGAGGCCGGCCAAAGGCGGCGUGUGGUCUAAACUCUAAACAUGGCAAGGUAAUGAUAUUACUGACAAGGUUGGGCUACAGGGUGGGAGCGUUGUGAAGACAUUGAUGAUCUCUCCACCAUCAAACAAGCCAACAACUGAUUCAAGUGAAAAGUCUACCAUACUACCAAGGAUGACUAGUUCUGAAUUCCGCCUACACCGUCCAUUUAAGUUCAGGGGAAUGCCAACAUGGUUGCCUCAUCAAGUGAGCUCUGCAUGAAGGUGGUGCUCAGCAAUGACAUGUCGGUCAAGGAGGUGGGGGUUCUCAUGGCAUCGGCAGAUGCUUAUGGUGUUAGUGGAUGUGGACAACGACGGGCUGCUGGACGAAGGGGAGUUCAUGAGGAUGUGGAGAGAGAGGCGGAGGUGGACCAGUACUUAUGGCUGAAGCAGGUGUGCGGGAUGUAGGGGAUGGAGGGAAGAGGUUCACCACACUGCUGAGGUUAAAGGUAAUGCUCAACAAGCUGGGCGUGCACCAGGACAUCACCGAGUGCCUAGAUCUGGAUGGAGAUGGUGUGAGCUUCGAAGAGUUCAUGACCAUGAUGAUGAUGUGAUCUGGAGACGCUAUAAUUUCCUGUGGUUUGUAGCUUAGACUUUGUUUGUUAAUUGAUCGUGCAUGAAUUAGUGAAAUAGUGAAAUUCCACAAAGCUGCUGUAUUUUUGUUUCUACGAAACCAUACUGUGUUCCCAACUAUAUUUGUAAUUUUUAUCCCGUUACAAUGCAUGGGCACCCAACUAUAGUAUAAGAUCACGUUAAGAGAGAACGAUUUUAGUUAA